rnacentral:rRNA from 1 species
CGAUUGACUUCGCCAGUUUGACUGUUAUCAAUCAGUGAUCGAACAGAGUAGUGCUCCUUCGACGUUAGCGGCUGUGACGGGUGAGUAACACGUGGUGCAACCUACCUUAUAGUUUGGGAUAACUCCGGGAAACCUGGGGCUAAUACCGAAUAAUCUAUUUUACUUCAUGUGUGAAAUACUGAAAGACGUGUUUCUGUGCUGUCUGCUAUAAGAUUGUGUGCCCUGCUGUGCGCAUUAGCUAGUUGGUGAGUGUAACGUGCUCACCAANGGCGAUGAUUGCGUAAGGCCGACCUUGAGAGGGGUGAAUCGGCCACCAACCUGGGAACUUGGAAGAACACUGGGCCCANNGACUCCUAACGGGGAAGNGCCAGGCAAGUAGGGAAAUCCUUCCCACAAUUGUGGCGAAAAGCCCUUGAUUGGAUGCAAACGCCGUCGUUGGUGUUGAAGAGGGGUUUUUUCGGAUCNGUAAAAAACUCUUGUNUGUAAGUGACAUGGACACAANGUAACAGUUAGUUAAACUGGCUUGGUUAACCUUUGAACGGGGUACCUUUAUUAGAAACGCCCAACGGGCUAAACUAACGGUUGCCCACGGCAAGCCNGCUGG